rnacentral:rRNA from 1 species
UGGGGAAUUUUGGACAAUGGGCGCAAGCCUGAUCCAGCCAUGCCGCGUGCGGGAAGAAGGCCUUCGGGUUGUAAACCGCUUUUGUCAGGGAAGAAAUCUUCUGAGUUAAUACCUCGGGAGGAUGACGGUACCUGAAGAAUAAGCACCGGCUAACUACGUGCCAGCAGCCGCGGUAAUACGUAGGGUGCAAGCGUUAAUCGGAAUUACUGGGCGUAAAGCGUGCGCAGGCGGUUUUGUAAGACAGAGGUGAAAUCCCCGGGCUCAACCUGGGAACUGCCUUUGUGACUGCAAGGCUUGAGUGCGGCAGAGGGGGAUGGAAUUCCGCGUGUAGCAGUGAAAUGCGUAGAUAUGCGGAGGAACACCGAUGGCGAAGGCAAUCCCCCUGGGCCUGCACUGACGCUCAUGCACGAAAGCGUGGGGAGCAAACAGGAUUAGAUAGCCCUGGUAGUCCACGCCCUAAACGAUGUCAACUGGUUGUUGGGAAGGUUCCUUCUCAGUAACGUAGCUAACGCGUGAAGUUG